UUGAGCUGAGCUUUCGCUCGCUGUCCACCACUGCUGUUUUGCCACCAUGGCAGACCCACCACUGACCUCCAUCCCUCCGCAUCCAGCAGGGUGUCCGCUGUGCUCCUGAUCCAGUGAGGCGCCCGUUGCCACUCCCGAUUGGGCUAAGGGCUUGCCAAUGUUCCUGCAUGGCUAAGUGCCUGGGUUCGUCCUAAUCGAGCUGAACACUAGUCACUGGGUUCCAUGGUUCUCUUCCAUGACCCACAACUUCUAAUAGAGCUAUAACAAGCACUGCAUGGCCCAAGAUUCCAUUCCUUGGAAUCCGUGAGGCCAAGAACCCCAGGUCAGAGAACACGAGGCUUGCCACCAUCUUGGAAGUGGCCCACCGCCAUUUUGGAAGUGGCCAACCACCAUCUUGGGAGCUCUGGGAGCAAGGACCCCUGGUAACAUUUUGGCGACCACGAAGGGACAUCCCAAGUGAUAAGCUGAGACCAUCCUUGAAAUAGACUCACUUUGGUGUAAUCAACUGCCUUGUGAAGAAGGACUUGCCUGCUUCCCUUUCCACCAUGGUUGUAAGUUUCCCGAGGCCUUCCCAGCCAUGCAGAACUGUGAGUCAAUUAAACCUUUUUCCUUUAUAAAUUACCCAAUUUCAGGUAUGUCUUCAUAGAUGCCUGAGCAGGAACUAUUAGGUUGAUGCAAAGGUAAUUGCACAUUUUGACAUUUUUUAAAGUAAUGGCAAAACCCUCAAUUACUUCUGCACUAACUAAAUAAUAUGUAUACUAUCCGGACUUCUUGGUUUUUCAGAACUUUCUCUGUUGUAAACACUCCAGUGAUAGUAUAAUCUCAUUGCUAUUUUACUUUUAGAAGUUUAUUUGCCAAAAUCCAUACACAAAAGAAGAAGAUAGAAAUGAUUAGUGCUGAAUUGGUUUACAGUUAUAUCAGAGGAAAUCAUAAUAUAAGUGAAGAUCUCAUAAGGAUAGAAUCAUAUCAAUAAUGUUUAUAUCUUCCGUGAAUUAUUAUGGAGUUU
rnacentral:lncRNA from 10 species